UUGUAAGAUCUUUGACCCUUA
rnacentral:miRNA from 1 species